GGUUAAGUUAGAAAGGGCGCACGGUGGAUGCCUUGACACUAGGAGUCGAUGAAGGACGGGACUAACGCCGAUAUGCUUCGGGGAGCUGUAAGUAAGCUUUGAUCCGAAGAUUUCCGAAUGGGGAAACCCACCAUACGUAAUGGUAUGGUAUCCUUAUCUGAAUACAUAGGGUAAGGAAGACAGACCCAGGGAACUGAAACAUCUAAGUACCUGGAGGAAGAGAAAGCAAAUGCGAUUUCCUGAGUAGCGGCGAGCGAAACGGAACAUAGCCCAAACCAAGAGGCUUGCCUCUUGGGGUUGUAGGACAUUCUAUACGGAGUUACAAAGGAACGAGGUAGACGAAGCGACCUGGAAAGGUCCGUCGUAGAGGGUAACAACCCCGUAGUCGAAACUUCGUUCUCUCUUGAAUGUAUCCUGAGUACGGCGGAACACGUGAAAUUCCGUCGGAAUCUGGGAGGACCAUCUCCCAAGGCUAAAUACUCCCUAGUGAUCGAUAGUGAACCAGUACCGUGAGGGAAAGGUGAAAAGCACCCCGGAAGGGGAGUGAAAGAGAUCCUGAAACCGUGUGCCUACAAAUAGUCAGAGCCCGUUAACGGGUGAUGGCGUGCCUUUUGUAGAAUGAACCGGCGAGUUACGAUCCCGUGCGAGGUUAAGCUGAAGAGGCGGAGCCGCAGCGAAAGCGAGUCUGAAUAGGGCGUUUAGUACGUGGUCGUAGACCCGAAACCAGGUGAUCUACCCAUGUCCAGGGUGAAGUUCAGGUAACACUGAAUGGAGGCCCGAACCCACGCACGUUGAAAAGUGCGGGGAUGAGGUGUGGGUAGCGGAGAAAUUCCAAUCGAACCUGGAGAUAGCUGGUUCUCCCCGAAAUAGCUUUAGGGCUAGCCUUAAGUGUAAGAGUCUUGGAGGUAGAGCACUGAUUGGACUAGGGGUCCUCAUCGGAUUACCGAAUUCAGUCAAACUCCGAAUGCCAAUGACUUAUCCUUAGGAGUCAGACUGCGAGUGAUAAGAUCCGUAGUCAAAAGGGAAACAGCCCAGACCGCCAGCUAAGGUCCCAAAGUGUGUAUUAAGUGGAAAAGGAUGUGGAGUUGCUUAGACAACUAGGAUGUUGGCUUAGAAGCAGCCACCAUUUAAAGAGUGCGUAAUAGCUCACUAGUCGAGUGACUCUGCGCCGAAAAUGUACCGGGGCUAAAUACACCACCGAAGCUGCGGAUUGAUACCAAUGGUAUCAGUGGUAGGGGAGCGUUCUAAGGACAGUGAAGUCAGACCGGAAGGACUGGUGGAGUGCUUAGAAGUGAGAAUGCCGGUAUGAGUAGCGAAAGACGGGUGAGAAUCCCGUCCACCGAAUGCCUAAGGUUUCCUGAGGAAGGCUCGUCCGCUCAGGGUUAGUCAGGACCUAAGCCGAGGCCGACAGGCGUAGGCGAUGGACAACAGGUUGAUAUUCCUGUACCACCUCUUUAUCGUUUGAGCAAUGGAGGGACGCAGAAGGAUAGAAGAAGCGUGCGAUUGGUUGUGCACGUCCAAGCAGUUAGGCUGAUAAGUAGGCAAAUCCGCUUAUCGUAAAGGCUGAGCUGUGAUGGGGAAGCUCCUUAUGGAGCGAAGUCUUUGAUUCCCCGCUGCCAAGAAAAGCUUCUAGCGAGAUAAAAGGUGCCUGUACCGCAAACCGACACAGGUAGGCGAGGAGAGAAUCCUAAGGUGUGCGAGAGAACUCUGGUUAAGGAACUCGGCAAAAUGACCCCGUAACUUCGGGAGAAGGGGUGCUUUCUUAACGGAAAGCCGCAGUGAAUAGGCCCAAGCGACUGUUUAGCAAAAACACAGCUCUCUGCGAAGCCGUAAGGCGAAGUAUAGGGGGUGACACCUGCCCGGUGCUGGAAGGUUAAGGAGAGGGGUUAGCGUAAGCGAAGCUCUGAACUGAAGCCCCAGUAAACGGCGGCCGUAACUAUAACGGUCCUAAGGUAGCGAAAUUCCUUGUCGGGUAAGUUCCGACCCGCACGAAAGGUGUAACGAUUUGGGCACUGUCACAACCAGAGACUCGGUGAAAUUAUAGUACCUGUGAAGAUGCAGGUUACCCGCGACAGGACGGAAAGACCCCGUGGAGCUUUACUGUAGCCUGAUAUUGAAUUUUGGUACAGUUUGUACAGGAUAGGCGGGAGCCUUUGAAACCGGAGCGCUAGCUUCGGUGGAGGCGCUGGUGGGAUACCGCCCUGACUGUAUUGAAAUUCUAACCUACGGGUCUUAUCGACCAGGGAGACAGUGUCAGGUGGGCAGUUUGACUGGGGCGGUCGCCUCCUAAAGUGUAACGGAGGCGCCCAAAGGUUCCCUCAGAAUGGUUGGAAAUCAUUCGUAGAGUGCAAAGGCAUAAGGGAGCUUGACUGCGAGACCUACAAGUCGAGCAGGGACGAAAGUCGGGCUUAGUGAUCCGGUGGUUCCGCAUGGAAGGGCCAUCGCUCAACGGAUAAAAGCUACCCCGGGGAUAACAGGCUUAUCUCCCCCAAGAGUCCACAUCGACGGGGAGGUUUGGCACCUCGAUGUCGGCUCAUCGCAUCCUGGGGCUGUAGUCGGUCCCAAGGGUUGGGCUGUUCGCCCAUUAAAGCGGUACGCGAGCUGGGUUCAGAACGUCGUGAGACAGUUCGGUCCCUAUCCGUCGUGGGCGUAGGAAAUUUGAGAGGAGCUGUCCUUAGUACGAGAGGACCGGGAUGGACGCACCGCUGGUGUACCAGUUGUUCUGCCAAGGGCAUAGCUGGGUAGCUAUGUGCGGAAGGGAUAAGUGCUGAAAGCAUCUAAGCAUGAAGCCCCCCUCAAGAUGAGAUUUCCCAUAGCGUAAGCUAGUAAGAUCCCUGAAAGAUGAUCAGGUUGAUAGGUUCGAGGUGGAAGCAUGGUGACAUGUGGAGCUGACGAAUACUAAUAGAUCGAGGACUUAACCAUAUA
rnacentral:rRNA from 1 species